UCGUGCUGUUCCAGCGAAGCGUAGCAGUGUACUCUACGGAUGAGACCUCGCUGAAGACGAAGCUUUCCUUUUACUCAAUCUUACAUUUUACACACUGUUAGUGUAUUGAAUUUUCUAACAGCCUGCCAAUUUCUGAACCCCAUUAACCCAAUGAUGGAGUUAUCGUUGAUGUCAGCGCAGCAUUUUCCGGCUGUGAGUGGGGCCUUCAUGGAUUCCCCGUACAAUGGCAACACGUCCCUCCAGACCUCCACCUCUAACCUCAACGCCAACUUCUCCCGGCCGACCGAGGCGGAAGAGGAGGGCAAGUACUCCAGCGACGCCAUCUGGCUUUGGGUGGCCGUCAUUGCAACCAUCGGCAACAUAGUAGUGGUAGCAGUGGUUUGCGCCUGUGCCUUCUAAGACCCGUUAGUUACAAGCACACAGCCGAACCUCCCUCUUGCCACCUUUUCCCCCUCCACUUUAACCUGUCCCCUGUAUUCGUUUUCAUCUGGUAUGUGUCCAUCCGUAAUAUUAAAGCCAAGGGCCUGUUCGGAGGGUCGACGGAGUAUGAUCGUGAAAAUAUAGGGAUUGAUUUAACUGAUGUUCUGUAGGACUAUGAAUGCGUUUGUCAGUCUAGGAAUGAGAGAGAGAGACAAUCCUCUGGAGUUACCAUACCGUAUCUUACCUAAAGCCUGUCUCCCACUGUGUUUUUUGGGGGUAUUUUUAUGAUAAACGGGGAAGUGAGCUGAUGUGGGCUGUGCCUUUGUAUAAUGAACAUUUUGUAAAUGAUUUAUGGAAAUGGGCAUUGUAUAAAGCAGCCUCCCUUCUGCUUUCCAAUCGGUGGGAUCACCAGAGGUCAGCCUAAAGGAAGGGAAGUGGAAGUGUAGGGAAGUGGGAAGUGCACAGAGAACGUGUACAGCUGUGAGAUCCCCUCUGCCUAUGAACCUGAACCGAACACCACCCCAUAUAUCUUUGUCUGGUUGAUGUCAUGUGCCUGUUUGUCUGAAAUGAAUGUGUUGAUGCUGCUGUCUUGGUCCAGGUCUCUCUUGAAAAUAUAUAUUUUUUUUUUGGGGGGGGGGGGGGGUCUCAAUGAGACCAACCUGGUUAAAUAAGGGUGAUAUAAAUAAACACGGAAUCAGCAGUUCCCGUUGUGGUUGGCCACUGUCUCGGAGACCAGUGGAGAGAUAUGUGACAGAUGGUGGCUGGUAGGAGUGCUGAGGGGACAGCAGAGGGGCCCAGGGCAGACUUGGCAGUACCCCCAGUACUCGGUGUUCUUUCCUGUGACUGCUGCAACACUGCACUACCAUUCACCAUUACUGCUCUGUCCUGUCCUCAUCGGCCUCUCUGAUAGAAAUCUCCCGAAGCACUUUAUAAAAACCCAAUAAACUGAGGAGUUUUCUUCCGUCUUAACUGCAGUGUUCUGGGCUCACCUGUUGCAUCUCUGCAGUGGCUGUAGACCUGUGCCAGUUGAACUAUGCAGUGAUGGCAUCCCACUGGGCACACACUGGUUGAAUAUGGCACGUCAUUUCAAUGAAAUGUUCCCCGUGGGAUAGCUGUGGAUAAUGUUUUAUAAGUGAGACCGAUGUACACAAACACAGUAUCACCCACAAGCCAAAUGAGGGAAUUAAGUUGUCAGCACACAUCUUAUGUUAUACCACCCCUGCUGACAUUAUCUGCAAUUACGGAGCCACCAAUUACAUCGCACUAAAUCAUUGAGCCGCCCACCAUAACCAGACUAUCCCAAAUGACCAGACCGCCGCUACGAAGGCCCCACGCUGUUGAGCUAGCAAUGAAAUGGUUUCGCUCCUGUCAUAAGAAACCCCAUUGCUGUUAACGUUAGUUUUUUGUUGUUGUUGUGCCAGGCGGGCAGAAUCUCACAUUCACCUCAGAUUGUCUCUCAGUAGACUAGUGUGUGUAGGUGGCAGCCUCCCCAGUAGUUCUGUGCUGUGCUGUCUCCCACCCAGCGGAGUGGGGCCACAGACUUGUCAAGCGGCAGGGCUGUAAUGAGACGUAAUCCCUUUCUCUCUCUCUCUCUCUAUCUCUAUCUCUUUCCUAAAGCGAACACUGACCUCUCAGUUGCUCUGCGGUGAUCAGAGCAGAUCUGAUCCCCGCUGCACUGGGCUGCGCUGAACAAGGAUAGUGCUUCAAAGUGCAUUUUUAGUGUGUGACUUCCUCGCUUAAUCAGCACUCGUUGUGAUUGAAAGGGAGGGGAGGAGAAGAGAGGAGUGACCGCAUGGGAUUGGAUUUGUAACUUCCAUGUCAUCGCUUUGAAUUACAGGACUUUUUUUGAAGUACAACGGAAAAUAUAUCUAUUUUUUUAUUGAAACCAACGAAGUGGAAUAAAAGGUUUUAAGAUGGAGAGAUUUAGGAUCAAAAGUCAGGCUGAGACAUCACUCAUCACAGCUAAUUGCCCUGAUCUCACUGUACAGUAGAGUUAAUGAAAACAAGAGACAGAUUCAUCAUGGCGUCUCUGAGCGGUCCUUUUCAGGUUCCUUAGAGAGCUUAGUCUGAAGAAACCUGAGGGAACAGUAAUGCAUCGUCUCUUAACCAUAAACAACAACAAACCAAAAAAACGCUAGUUUCUCUAUUGCACAGUAUGGGGCGUCAUAAGUAUCUGCUGGCAAUAACUCAAGAUGACGCUAACAAGUUAGUAUUAUACAUCCCCACUAUAUGUAGUUACUUUAAUACAGUAACUAUUCUGAAACAACAUGCAUAAGAACUAGGUGAGGAAUCCCAAGUUAGCUAUAAUAUGAAUUUCUUCUACCCUUGUGUCGGCUGUGUGCUUUGACAUGGGACUGGUUAAGGCUCAGGUGCCCACUGUCUACGGCUCGAAUUAUGUGUCUGAGCUGACUAACACAACACCUCCCCGUCAACUGCUUAUUGACCAUGGACGCCCCUUGACCACCAUGGGACGAUGGUCCUCCUCCACACGACGGGACGUCAUCACAGCCUCAAGCCCAGACUCCCAGGAAUUGUCCAUCCUUCCUCUGCCCCCAGGAACACAUAGGCUCAUUAAAGCAGACUUCCUGUAUCCUCAGUACAGCAGAGACAGUAUGGGUGACUAGGGGCUGUGACUUUUUUAAAAGCACAUACAGGGAACCCAUAAAGACUACAUGGGGGCUAGGAGGGAUAUUUUGAGAGGUGGGACUUGAGAGGUGACGGACAUCAUAUUCAUGACUUCAGCAAAUAAUAGCAUAUCUUAUCCAAGGUUACUUAGUAGUUGACUUUCUUUUAGAAUGUGCUGUGACUCAUAACACUCAAAAGAACGUAGAAAGUGAAACUACAGUAGGAAAGAGCAAGAUCCUUCUGGAGUCCUAUACGUCUUCUUUUAGAAAUGGAUACCUGACAGCGAUUCACACAUUCAUUACAACGAAUGGAGAUGGAUAUACAUCGACGUUGUCGACUCUGAACAGUUGGAUUCUACUUUUCUGUGCAUCCAGUUCCAGGGUUAUACGUUCUGAUUACCUCCCUGUAGGUGUCAGGGUUACCGCUAUGAAAUACUGAUUAUCAAAAGGCUAUUGGCUUAAUACAGUCACUGUGUUUGUUAAAUUAAUUCACAAUGUUCAUUCACAAAAGCAUUCUAUAACAAUUACUUCAUGCAAAAUACUGCACAGAGUCACAUUACUGCAAUGUGUUGUAAAUGAUAUUUCCCGGGGGGACCUACAUUCCUUGUUUACAAAAGGAAAUGAAACAUUUUGGGAUUUCUUUAAUUUCAGUGUGUGUAAUCAUGAUUGCAGUGUACAGUAUAAGCACUAUGAGAGUUAUUGAAACCAGUUUUAUUUUAAACCUGAUAUUUGAGGCUCGUUAUUAUUUUGUUCCCAUGCUAGAUUAACCAAAAUACACACACACACACACACACACACACACACACACACACACACACACACACACACACACACACACACACACACACACACACACACACACACACACACACACACACACACACACACACACACACACACACACACACACACACACACACACACACACACAUUGUGGCUUGCAUUAUAUGAGCCAGGAUUCAAUAUGAUUACCUUUUUAUAAGGAGAAUGGUUGUGUGCACGUCAGUAAAUUAGACCAGCUCUGUUGUUCAUAUGCUCCUCAUUAGUCCCAACAUCCAAGCCGUGUGUGCAUGCUCAUCGGAAAGACAUCUUAAUAGGGAAAACACUUAAAUGCAGCUGGCGCGAGACCACGUGACAGUUCAACAAUGAUCAUUUUUUUUGUGUUUUCAAUUUCUAUUGUGAUAUUUUGAUUUAGUAUAAGCUUACUUUCCUAGCUUGUUUGCAUGUGUUGGGUUAUUUUCAUCCCAACAUUUUGUCCGUUGACUACUCUGCAAGCUGCGUUCCAGUAAGGGAUAUGUAAAAAAAUCAUGAUCUUAUUUGAUGGAAUAUUGAUUGAAUGAUGAAUUACUUUGUACAUGAACAAUUAUGUACAACUAAUGUUUAUUCCUUUUGAGGAAUAUUUUUUUUGUAAACUUUUUAUCAAUCGUGUAUUUUUUCCCAAUGUUUUAGUAAUUCAGUCCGUGCAGAAACAUUGCUGCUAAAAGCCUUGAUGUAUUUUUUUUUUAUUUUUACACACUUGCAAGCGAACAGAAAAGCGUAGAAGUAGAUGUGUUUUUACCUGCAUAAUUCAAAAUCUAUAUUGUCUGUUAACCUCAUGGUUUUACCAUCCUUUAUAAUUCAAUUAAAUUGAUAUGAAUGUGAAAAUGAUGGGCUGUCCUGUUAGGUUAUUCUUCAUAUGAAUGUGAAAAUGAUGGGCUGUCCUGUUAGGUUAUUCUUCAUAUGAAUGUGAAAAUGAUGGGCUGUCCUGUUAGGUUAUUCUUCAUAUGAAUGUGAAAAUGAUGGGCUGUCCUGUUAGGUUAUUCUUCAUAUGAAUGUGAAUAAUAUCACAAAUUCUGUCAACGUCAUGCUCAUAUCGGGUUGAAUCCACAGUGGACUAAUUUCAUCCUUUGAACACAUGUUUUUCCCCAAAAUCAUUGUAAUGGGUUACUCAUCAGAAUCUAAAGAGGGGACAUGUUCUUGUUCUUUCAGAAUUAGCUCUGUAAUGGCAACUCCAGUUCAAAACUGAAAUCAGCUUAUUCAUUCUGGCACAUCCACACUCAAGUGGCCAUCUGGAGAUAUGGAGUGUUAUAAUGCAAUAUGAAAUUAAUGUGGCUUUUUCGAUUUCUCAUAUAUACAAUUAAAACGGCAAUCAAUUAGUGUCAGUAGCAAUUUGACUGAAAAUUUAAUCCUGGGCUUUUUCAUGGCCAUUUGAGCAUUUUGUCAAAUAUUUUUUUCUCUGAGAGCAACUGGGGUAAAUCACGAGGUAAAAGCACUAAAUCCAACUCAGGUUUUAGAGCUGGAACCACCUUGGAUUGUGGGAACUAACUUUGCUUGGCUGAUAGGUUACAUAAUAUGUCAGGAAAUGGAUUUACAUAGGAAUUAGGAAUAUUAAUGCCAAAAGUAUUGGUGUCGACCUGACUCUGUUAGUCCACUGGAAAACCAAUAAAUCAUCAGGAUAAAGGCUAAUAUUAAUUUGGCAACAAUAUCUCGAUAGGUGGUAAGAAUGUACAGAGUGUAUAUUAGAUUUGAAAUGCAUGCUUGGAUAGUUUUAUAGUACUGUAAGCAAUUGAUGUGUAUACGUAAGAGACACUGGGUGUGUGUUUCGUACUGUUUGGGAUGUUUUGGCUCCUGGCAAUCCAUGAUAUAUGUGUAGUCACGCCAUUAUGUGUCUUUGGGGAGAGAAUAUGCACACAUUGGGAAUACAAUGUUAGUCCACUGGGCAUUCUAAAGCUUAACAAAACAUGUUCAUUUGCUGCCAUCCCCAUGAUGUCACAGCAAUGUACUGUAAAGUGCCAUCCUCAACCCUCAAUACAGCCUCCACUGGUCCACAAUGAAAUAUCUGUCCUUUUGUUGAUUUUACCACUGAAAGGUACCUUGUAAUUCAGGUCAGAGUAUCUGGAUUGCUACAGUCUACACAGGCACAGUAAAACCAUACGUAGCUAAAAAUGUUCAGUCGCUGGAGCCGGGUUCGAGACCCUGUCGGAGCUACUCCCGAACUCGCUACAUUGACGUCAGAAGUCGGGAUGGUGCCUGGGAGGCCAUCGCAGAGGCGUGUUCACGUGGGGAACUUGGUAUAGAGAAGCUUGGGGACACAGUCUCUCGAAGGAAGUGGGGGUAGUGUAGUAUGAUUGAUCGAGACACACAAAUGAACUCUAAAGGUUAAUACAGUCAGUCGUCUCAUACCUUUUUAUCACCACUUUUAUCAAGUGUUGGAAUUGUGUAACAAUCAUGCAGUCACUGUUAAUCAAACCAAAAAUGUAACUUCAUUAGAAAUAAUUGUUAGUGAUGCUAAACUAAAGGGUGGAUUUGGCUGUGUAUCAUUCUGAAAAAGCAGCGCAGUAUACUGGUUUCCCCUGAACGACCCCAGACACAUGACUUUCCUGUGCGAGCCGAAUGCACCCUCUCCCUCCUUCACUCACACGGUCUGGCUCUUAGGUUGGAGAUGGAGGGAAGCGUCAGAGCAUGAAAUGCACUGCUCCAGCGUUGUCUCUGGAGUUAAUGGAUACUCAACCCUGAGAUGAUACUCUGAGGCAGGCAAGGAGAGGAAGAGGGCGAUAGCAAGAUAUACACUGAGUGUACAAAACAUUAGGAACACCUUCCUAAUAUUGAGUUGCACACCCUUUUGGCCUCAGAUCAGACUCAAUUCGUCGGGUGCAUGGACUCUAGAAUGUGUUGAAAGUGUUCCACAGGGAUGCUGGCCCAUUUUGACUCCAAUGCUUCCCACAGUUGUGUCAAGUUGUCUGGAUGUGCUUUGGGUUGUGGACUAUUCUUGAUACACACUGGAAACUGUUGGGUAUGAAAAAUCCAGCAGUGUUACAAUUCUUAACACAAACUGGUGCACCUGGCACCUUCUACCAUAUCCCAUUCAAAGGCACUUAAAUCUUUUGUCUUGCCCAUUCACCCUCUAAAUGGCACACAUACACCAUCCAUGUCCCAAUU